rnacentral:misc_RNA from 1 species
AGAACACUUCUCUGAAACUUUUGGAUGCUUUUGUUGAUUUCUUUUUCGAGUUUGUUGACCAGCCAUUGCUCCCAUCGCAGAGCAACUUUGCUCCGGUUGAUGAAUUGAAGGAGGCAGUUGUUGUCAGCAGCAUUGAAGGAGAGAUUCCAUAUGAUUUUUCGGAAGGUGUCUACGUAAGAAACGGAGCAAAUCCUCUUUUCGGGGGACUAAAAUCGGCGACUUCUAUAUUAGGGAGGUCAAGCCACAUUUGGGUAGAAGGAGAAGGAAUGCUUCAUGUUUUAUAUUUUGAUAAAGGUAGUGAUGGAAACUGGACUGUUGUCUACAACAACAGAUAUGUCGAAACUGAAACGCUCAAGCUUGAAAAACAAAGAAACAAGCCAUCUUUUCUUCCUGCAAUAGAAGGCAGUUCAGCAGCAGUAGUAUCAGCUUACUUGCUAAAUCUGCUUCGAUUUGGAAAAGUUAACAAGUACAUAAGCAACACAAAUGUUUUCGAGCAUGCUAGGAAGUUCUACUCUGUUGCUGAAAAUCACAUUCCUCAAGAAAUUGACAUCUUCACCCUCAAAACUUUAGGCAACUGGGAUGUCAAUGGAUCCUGGAAUCGACCUUUUACUAGCCACCCCAAGAGAGCACCAGGCACAGGGGAGCUGGUUGUGAUGGGGGUGGAUGCUAAAAAACCUUUCAUGGAAUUGGGAGUAAUUUCUGGUACAAUUGUUACUGAAUAGCAAUAUUUAGAACAAGUGUUGCACAAUCAUAUACUUUGUUAACAUUUCCAAUAUUCAGCUGAUGGAAAGAGAAUGGUUCAUAAAGUGGAUCUCAAAUUGAAAAGGUGUACCCUUUGUCACGACUUUGGAGUUACACAGAGGUAUAAUCUGAUCUUGGAUUUUCCACUAACCUUGGACAUAUACCGACUCAUUAGAGGAGGCCCGUUAAUACAGUAUAAUAAGGAAGAUUAUGCAAGGAUUGGGAUAAUGCCUCGCUAUGGUGAUGCAGACUCAAUACAAUGGUUUGAGGUAGAACCAAAUUGCACAUUUCACAUUCUCAAUUGUUUUGAGGAUGGUCAUGAGGUUGUAGUGUGGGGGUGUAAGGCUCUUGACUCAAUCAUACCAGGACCUGAUAUGGGCUUAAAUAAGUUCGAGUGGUUUUCAAGGAGGUUUAGACAUAUAGAAUCAGAUAUUAAUACUGCUGAAGAUGGAUUAUUAUUUUAUCGCUGCCACGAAUGGCGAUUAAACAUGAAAACUGGAAAGACUAGAGAAAGAUAUCUCUCAGGAACGGAAUUCUCCAUGGAUAUGCCAAUGAUCAAUGGAGACUUUACAGGAGUUAAAAAUAAAUAUGGCUACACCCAAAUUGUUGACUCUGAGGCCAGCUCUAUUUCAGGCAUGACAAAAUAUGGAGGUCUAGCCAAAUUAUACUUUGCAGAGUCAGAAAACAAAUUUGAUGAGCUGAUAAAGGUGGAAUACCAUAAAUUUGAGAAGAACACCUUCUGCACUGGAGCUGCUUUUGUUCCUAAAAGACCAAGUCUUGAAGAAGAUGAUGGUUGGAUCAUCACUUUUGUUCGCGAUGAAGAUACUAAUGUGUCUAAAGCUUGUAUAAUUGACACAAAGAAGUUCACCAGUGAACCAGUUGCCAAAAUCACACUGCCAUGCAGAGUCCCGUAUGGUUUUCAUGGAGCUUUCAUGCCAAUUCCAUUCUCAAACUUGAAAACACCAUAAGAUGUACAAGUUCCCAGAAAAUUUGCUCCUCUGAUCAGCUCUGUAAGGAGUAAAUCCCAUGUGAAUUCCCCUUUGGAUAGGAACGGGGAGACCAACAUCUACACAAGUGAAAAGAAUCAUUGUAAAAUUUGAUAAAACAAAGGGAAUAUAUUUCUG